CACGUAGGGGGCAAGCGUUGUCCGGAUUCAUUGGGCGUAAAGAGCUCGUAGGCGGUUCGGUAAGUCGGGUGUGAAACCUCCAGGCUCAACCUGGAGACGCCACCCGAUACUGCUGUGACUAGAGUCCAGUAGGGGAGCGUGGAAUUCCUGGUGUAGCGGUGAAAUGCGCAGAUAUCGGGGGGAACACCAGUGGCGAAGGCGGCGCUCUGGGCUGGAACUGACGCUGAGGCGCGAAAGCGUGGGGAGCAAACGGG
rnacentral:misc_RNA from 1 species